rnacentral:rRNA from 1 species
AGUGAACGCUGGCGGUAGGCCUAACACAUGCAAGUCGAACGGCAGCACAGUAAGAGCUUGCUCUUACGGGUGGCGAGUGGCGGACGGGUGAGGAAUACAUCGGAAUCUACUUUUUCGUGGGGGAUAACGUAGGGAAACUUACGCUAAUACCGCGUACGACCUACGGGUGAAAGCAGGGGAUCUUCGGACCUUGCGCGAUUGAAUGAGCCGAUGUCGGAUUAGCUAGUUGGCGGGGUAAAGGCCCACCAAGGCGACGAUCCGUAGCUGGUCUGAGAGGAUGAUCAGCCACACUGGAACUGAGACACGGUCCAGACUCCUACGGGAGGCAGCAGUGGGGAAUAUUGGACAAUGGGCGCAAGCCUGAUCCAGCCAUACCGCGUGAGUGAAGAAGGCCUUCGGGUUGUAAAGCCCUUUUGUUGGGAAAGAAAAGCAGCAGGUUAAUACCCCGCUGUUCUGACGGUACCCAAAGAAUAAGCACCGGCUAACUUCGUG